GCCUCGGUAGCUCAGUUGGUAGAGCAGAGGACUGAAAAUCCUUGUGUCGCUGGUUCGAUUCCGGCCCGAGGCACCA
rnacentral:tRNA from 1 species